rnacentral:rRNA from 1 species
GUCUCUAGUUGCUACGAAAGGGCACUCUAGAGAGACUGCCGGUGACAAACCGGAGGAAGGUGGGGAUGACGUCAAGUCCUCAUGGCCCUUAUGGGUAGGGCUUCACACGUCAUACAAUGGUGCAUACAGAGGGUUGCCAGGCCGCGAGGUGGAGCUAAUCCCAGAAAAUGCAUCGUAGUCCGGAUCGUAGUCUGCAACUCGACUACGUGAAGCUGGAAUCGCUAGUAAUCGCGGAUCAGCAUGCCGCGGUGAAUACGUUCCCGGGUCUUGUACACACCGCCCGUCACACCAUGGGAGUGGGCUUUACCAGAAGUAGUUAGCCUAACCGCGAGGAGGGCGAUUACCACGGUAGGGUUCAUGACUGGGGUGAAGUCGUAACAAGGUAACCGU